UACGUAGGGCGCAAGCGUUGUCCGGAAUUAUUGGGCGUAAAGAGUUCGUAGGCGGUUUGUCGCGUCUGCCGUGAAAGUCCGGGGCUCAACUCCGGAUCUGCGGUGGGUACGGGCAGACUAGAGUGAUGUAGGGGAGACUGGAAUUCCUGGUGUAGCGGUGAAAUGCGCAGAUAUCAGGAGGAACACCGAUGGCGAAGGCAGGUCUCUGGGCAUUAACUGACGCUGAGGAGCGAAAGCAUGGGGAGCGAACAGG
rnacentral:rRNA from 1 species